AGUAAUGCUUGGGAAUCUGGCUUAUGGAGGGGGAUAACUGUGGGAAACUGCAGCUAAUACCGCGUAAUCUCUGAGGAGUAAAGGGUGGGACCUAUUGGCCACCUGCCAUAAGAUGAGCCCAAGUGGGAUUAGGUAGUUGGUGGGGUAAAGGCCUACCAAGCCUGCGAUCUCUAGCUGGUCUGAGAGGAUGACCAGCCACACUGGAACUGAGACACGGUCCAGACUCCUACGGGAGGCAGCAGUGGGGAAUAUUGCGCAAUGGGGGGAACCCUGACGCAGCCAUGCCGCGUGAAUGAAGAAGGCCUUCGGGUUGUAAAGUUCUUUCGGUAAUGAGGAAGGGAUGUUGUUUAAUAGAUGGCAUCAUUGACGUUAAUUACAGAAGAAGCACCGGCUAACUCCGUGCCAGCAGCCGCGGUAAUACGGAGGGUGCGAGCGUUAAUCGGAAUAACUGGGCGUAAAGGGCACGCAGGCGGACUUUUAAGUGAGAUGUGAAAUCCCCGAGCUUAACUUGGGAAUUGCAUUUCAGACUGGGAGUCUAGAGUACUUUAGGGAGGGGUAGAAUUCCACGUGUAGCGGUGAAAUG
rnacentral:rRNA from 1 species